GGGCACGUGGCGCAGCUGGUAGCGCGCAUGCUUAGCAGUAAGGACCGUGGGAAUGUCAUUACGUAAUGCAUGAGGCCUUGGGUUCAAGUCCCAACUUGUCCA
rfam:Sistotremastrum suecicum HHB10207 ss-3 unplaced genomic scaffold SISSTscaffold_22, whole genome shotgun sequence.